UGAACGCUGGCGGCGUGCCUAAUACAUGCAAGUCGAACGAGUUCUCGUUGAUGAUCGGUGCUUGCACCGAGAUUCAACAUGGAACGAGUGGCGGACGGGUGAGUAACACGUGGGUAACCUGCCCUUAAGUGGGGGAUAACAUUUGGAAACAGAUGCUAAUACCGCAUAGAUCCAAGAACCGCAUGGUUCUUGGCUGAAAGAUGGCGUAAGCUAUCGCUUUUGGAUGGACCCGCGGCGUAUUAGCUAGUUGGUGAGGUAAUGGCUCACCAAGGCGAUGAUACGUAGCCGAACUGAGAGGUUGAUCGGCCACAUUGGGACUGAGACACGGCCCAAACUCCUACGGGAGGCAGCAGUAGGGAAUCUUCCACAAUGGACGCAAGUCUGAUGGAGCAACGCCGCGUGAGUGAAGAAGGCUUUCGGGUCGUAAAACUCUGUUGUUGGAGAAGAAUGGUCGGCAGAGUAACUGUUGUCGGCGUGACGGUAUCCAACCAGAAAGCCACGGCUAACUACGUGCCAGCAGCCGCGGUAAUACGUAGGUGGCAAGCGUUAUCCGGAUUUAUUGGGCGUAAAGCGAGCGCAGGCGGUUUUUUAAGUCUGAUGUGAAAGCCCUCGGCUUAACCGAGGAAGCGCAUCGGAAACUGGGAAACUUGAGUGCAGAAGAGGACAGUGGAACUCCAUGUGUAGCGGUGAAAUGCGUAGAUAUAUGGAAGAACACCAGUGGCGAAGGCGGCUGUCUGGUCUGUAACUGACGCUGAGGCUCGAAAGCAUGGGUAGCGAACAGGAUUAGAUACCCUGGUAGUCCAUGCCGUAAACGAUGAAUGCUAGGUGUUGGAGGGUUUCCGCCCUUCAGUGCCGCAGCUAACGCAUUAAGCAUUCCGCCUGGGGAGUACGACCGCAAGGUUGAAACUCAAAGGAAUUGACGGGGGCCCGCACAAGCGGUGGAGCAUGUGGUUUAAUUCGAAGCAACGCGAAGAACCUUACCAGGUCUUGACAUCUUUUGAUCACCUGAGAGAUCAGGUUUCCCCUUCGGGGGCAAAAUGACAGGUGGUGCAUGGUUGUCGUCAGCUCGUGUCGUGAGAUGUUGGGUUAAGUCCCGCAACGAGCGCAACCCUUAUGACUAGUUGCCAGCAUUUAGUUGGGCACUCUAGUAAGACUGCCGGUGACAAACCGGAGGAAGGUGGGGAUGACGUCAAAUCAUCAUGCCCCUUAUGACCUGGGCUACACACGUGCUACAAUGGAUGGUACAACGAGUUGCGAGACCGCGAGGUCAAGCUAAUCUCUUAAAGCCAUUCUCAGUUCGGACUGUAGGCUGCAACUCGCCUACACGAAGUCGGAAUCGCUAGUAAUCGCGGAUCAGCACGCCGCGGUGAAUACGUUCCCGGGCCUUGUACACACCGCCCGUCACACCAUGAGAGUUUGUAACACCCGAAGCCGGUGGCGUAACCCUUUUAGGGAGCGAGCCGUCUAAGGUGGGACAAAUGAUU
rnacentral:rRNA from 1 species